rnacentral:rRNA from 1 species
ACGCUCGACACCUACUGGAGGCAGCAGUGAGGAAUAUUGGUCAAUGGGCGCUAGCCUGAACCAGCCAAGUAGCGUGAAGGAUGAAGGCUCUAUGGGUCGUAAACUUCUUUUAUAUAAGAAUAAAGUGCAGUAUGUAUACUGUUUUGUAUGUAUUAUAUGAAUAAGGAUCGGCUAACUCCGUGCCAACAGCCGCGGUAAUCUGAGCGGGCGUGGCAAGGC